rnacentral:rRNA from 1 species
AGCAGUAGCCGCGGGAAUACGGAGGGUGCAAGCGUUAAUCGGAAUUACUGGGCGUAAAGCGCACGCAGGCGGUCUGUUAAGUCAGAUGUGAAAUCCCCGGGCUCAACCCGGGAACUGCAUUUGAAACUGGCAGGCUUGAGUCUUGUAGAGGGGGGUAGAAUUCCAGGUGUAGCGGUGAAAUGCGUAGAGAUCUGGAGGAAUACCGGUGGCGAAGGCGGCCCCCUGGACAAAGACUGACGCUCAGGUGCGAAAGCGUGGGGAGCAAACAGGAUUAGAUACCCCGGUAGUCCCUGUCUCUUAUAC